rnacentral:rRNA from 1 species
UGGGGAAUAUUGGACAAUGGGGGCAACCCUGAUCCAGCAAUGCCGCGUGUGUGAAGAAGGUCUUCGGAUUGUAAAGCACUUUCGACGGGGACGAUGAUGACGGUACCCGUAGAAGAAGCCCCGGCUAACUUCGUGCCAGCAGCCGCGGUAAUACGAAGGGGGCUAGCGUUGCUCGGAAUGACUGGGCGUAAAGGGCGUGUAGGCGGUUUACACAGUCAGAUGUGAAAUCCCCCGGGCUUAACCUGGGAGCUGCAUUUGAUACGUGUAGACUAGAGUGUGAGAGAGGGUUGUGGAAUUCCCAGUGUAGAGGUGAAAUUCGUAGAUAUUGGGAAGAACACCGGUGGCGAAGGCGGCAACCUGGCUCAUGACUGACGCUGAGGCGCGAAAGCGUGGGGAGCAAACAGGAUUAGAUACCCUGGUAGUCCACGCUGUAAACGAUGUGUGCUAGAUGUUGGGUAACUUUGUUAUUCAGUGUCGCAGUUAACGCGUUAAG